GCGACGGUGGUGCAACGGUUUAGCACGUGCUCUCGGAAAGACUGAGUCUGGGUUCGAAUCCCGGCUAACGCA